rnacentral:lncRNA from 1 species
GAACACGUUGUUGUUAUUACUCGCGAAAUAUAUUAAUAUCGUGAACUAUGUUUUAUUCGCCCAAAGCUGGACUUCUCCCUACGCCAAAUACCCCUCAAAUUCAUUCUCCGAACCCAGAAGAUUAUGUCAAAUGUUCUUAUUAGCCUAUACCAGUUCAAGCGGUCAACAUUAUCGAGAGUUUUAAUAUUCGUUGUCAACCAACUUGGGAUAUUAAUGUCGCGACUAAAUAUGUCAAAUUCAAAGCCGAAUGGGACCUUUGUGGCCAAGUAUAUACGAGUGUCAACGUUGAUGUAUUUCCUAAAUCAGUCCUUAGCUCCCUAGCUACAUAUAACCUCGAUCAACCGUCUUGGAAUACUUCGUUUACGGGCAAGAAACUUUGUUUGAAACUGGAAUGGAAAGUGUCUAGUCAGCAUUCUCGUAUUAAUGUUUCAAAUUCGUCAAUCUACAACCAAAAUUCAACUGAUUUCGCCAUUAAUUCCUCAACAAACAGUCCUGCAAGUUUUUCUACACCCUAUCGUCGCCAUAAUCUAAGUUAUCAAGCGGACUCUGGUUAUAAAUCUGCGAACAGGUCCGAUAGUCAUAAAGAAUCGCCAAUAUAUUCACGGCGUGCGUAUAAUGAAAAUAUUGCAAACUUUCCAAAUAACUCGCCUGGGACUUGCACUAAAUUGUUCAAAUCGCCUCGAAAAUUGGUUAAUAGACAAGAUCUCUAUCGUCCUCAAUCGGUGGAUACGGCUAAUAUUAAAGCUAAAGCGAGUAUUACCCCGAAAUCUGAGAAUACAAGUGAAAAUAUAAGCCCCAAAGCUGAUCAAGUUAAAAUUAAUAAUUCACCGCAGUGUAAUAAUAAUCAACACAGUCUCGAGAGUAAUCAACAGAGUCACGCGAGCGAUGUUAAUCCGGAUUUGUCAGUUAGUCAUGAAAAAUCUGACGAAGAGGAGCUGUUUUCUGAUUCCGACUAUGAGCCGGCUAGUGACUUUGAUCCACGUACAAAUUCUUUUGGCCUUACUCCUAAAAAACUGUCCUUUUCAAACGGAUAUUUGUCUCACGCCAUCGAUGCCGAAUUCAUGAAUUUAAACGGCACAUGCAGAUUAUGCCAUGAUUCUAUUCCCUCCUACCUUGCCCAUCUUCAUGUAAUUGAAUGUCGAAGUCUGAUCUUGAUCCUGUUGAUGAAUUUUAUAAAACGUGUGCUGCGGAUCUCCAGACCAACAAGGAAAAAAUUCAAAAUUAUGUCAAAGACCACCUACAGUACAAAUUUAACGAUGACCAAAUUCCCAAUGACACUUUCAAGAAUUGCGAACAAUUUUAUAACUUUUGUAGUAACGUUGAUGUGUUAGAGAAAUCUCAAACCCGCAGAUUCUUUGAGAAAUGCGGUACACCACCUUCUAGAGUAAUAAAUAUUCUUAGCUAUGAACAUCUAGCAUAAACUACGAUAUUUAUAUCGGACACGAUCUACCAUUUUGAUAUUUACAUGACCAUUAAUGGCACUAAUUGUUAUAAUGACUAGGACUAUUAAGCAAGACCCAUCACCUGUAAACUAAUUUGAAAUAAAGAAUGAAUAGUGUAGUGUAGUGUAGUGUAGUGUAGUGUAGUGUAGUGUAGUGUAGUGUAGUGUAGUGUAGUGUAGGAUAGGGGGUAGGGUAUAGGGUAGCCUGCGUGCAGCCUACGCAUUUUAGUACUGUGUUAAGCCUUUCGCGCUCGUUUUCGACUUUUCCGCUAUGUAUUCGUGUGUGAUCAUGUACAAUAAUGUGCGUAUUUGUAUAGCCCC